rnacentral:rRNA from 1 species
AAAACAUGUCUCUUAGAAAAUAUUAAGAGUCAGGCCUGCCCAGUGAUCACUUUAACGGCCGCGGUACCCUGACCGUGCAAAGGUAGCAUAAUCAUUUGCCUUUUAAUUGGAGGCUAGUAUGAAUGGUCUAACGAGAGUAAAACUGUCUCAUAUAUAUUCAAUAAAAAUUAACCUAAAGGUGCAAAGGCCUUUAUCUGCUAAAAAGACGAGAAGACCCUGUUGAGCUUUAAUCUUAAUGAGCAUCUUCUCUAUAUUUAUAAAUUUAUUUUGCUCAAUAAAGAUUUUAAUUGGGGCGAUUAAGGAACAAUCACCAGCUUCCUGAAUUAACCUAGAAAUAUUUAUAAAUUAAAUCGAUCCAGCAUUGCUGAUCAGCAAAAUGAGUUACCACAGGGAUAACAGCAUAAUUCUUCUUGAGAGCCCACAUCGAAAGAAGAGAUUGUGACCUCGAUGUUGGACUAGGGUAACUAGAAGGUGUAGCCGCUUUCUUGUUUGGUCUGUUCGACCAGUAAUUCCCUACGUGAUCUGA